AACUGGGUUUGUUCUUGGUAUAAGCUUUCAUGUGCAUGCACACUUCUGGAUAUAUGGACUCUGUUCUGAAACUGUAUGCCAUCAGUGAUCCUAGCUACAUAAGUGACACCACAAACUUUCUGAGGAAAAUACAAUCUUUGAACAGGUAUCUGAAGAAGUGUGCAUGCACAUGAAAGCUUAUAUCAAGAACAAACUUAGUUGG